GGCCGGUGGUGGCGGCGGCGGCGGUGGUGGUGGUGGUGGUGGAGCAGCCGGUGUCGUGGUGGUCUGCUGUGUGUGGGACAGAGUGUCCAGAGCCUCUGCGUCGGCGGUAGUCUUUCCAUGAUAACUUUUUAAAAGCCUGGGAGGUAAGUGGUCUGGUGUUGGCGUCGUCGUUGGCCGGCGAGGCCGCCAGGGGAGGGUUCGACGUGUGGAGGUACCGGUUUGCGUGUACAUGGUGGUCCUCAUGCGUCAUUGUUGUGUUUGAUUCUCCUCACGUGUUGUCGAGUAGUGCUAAGCGGCAGGCGUAAGAAAAACAGUUGUUGGACACAAACGCACACACACAGACGCACACAGACACACACACACACACACACACACUAUCACGCAACACCUUGGGUCAAAUGGCAGGGGGGGGGGGGGUGUCUGCCCAGUGAGGUUAGGGUGGGUAGCAGUGUCCCUCAUAGGGCUGUGUAGCUGUGAACCCCCACAUAGUGGGGGCGUUGACCACAUGGUGGCUGAGAAGGCUAGUAGUUAGCAUGUAGGGCUUUAGCUUAGCAACAGUUGAGCUAGUCAGCGGCGUUGGCUAAACCGGCACUGACCUCCAAGACGUCCUCUCCAUGCACUGCAAGGUAAGGCUCAAGAACGCGAUGACGUCCCGGCCGUUCUGCGGCGACGACGUCUACCGUCCUGGCAAUCGUUCUUCUUCAGCACUCUCUUUCUCUUUCCUGUCAUUCCCAUCACCUGUCCUUCUCACAUUCCCUCUCAUAUGUCAGAGCCUCUCACUCUCGCUUUCUGAUUUCCAAACGUCUCACUCUUUCUUCCUGCCUCUCGUAGUCCUUCUCUCUCUCUCUCUCUCUCUCUCUCUCUCUCUCUCUCUCUCUCUCUCUCUCUCUCUCUCUCUCUCUCUCUCUCUCUCUCUCUGUUCUGUGGAUCUCCCUCUGGCAGCUGAAGCUACACGCCUUGCUGUGGCUGGUCAAACGGAACCAAGUCAGGUGUUUCUGUGAGGUUUGGUCCCUUUCAACCAGCUACUGCGUCGUGCAUUCAGUCAGCAGACAUCAACGAAAAUCAAAGAAAAAAGUUGCAUGUUACUGAAGUCCUGUUGUGGCCGCUAGACGGCGGUAUUUCCCCAUUGCAUUGGCCUAGUGAUGUCGGUAAUGGCAACUCCUGAUCAUCGGCUCUGUUUUUUUAGAUUAUUUUAGAUUAUUUCAUGCAAGUAGUGUUGUCUGAAAUGGUUUUGUGUUGUGAUGCUGUUUGUUGGAAAUAAAAAUAUUUGAUUGGCAAUA